rnacentral:rRNA from 1 species
AUACGGAGGGUGCAAGCGUUACUCGGAAUCACUGGGCGUAAAGCGCGCGCAGGCGGCUUGAUAAGUUGGAUGUGAAAGCCUACGGCUCAACCGUAGAACUGCAUCCAAAACUGUCAGGCUAGAGUGUGGGAGAGGAAGAUGGAAUUAGUUGUGUAGGGGUAAAAUCCGUAGAGAUAACUAGGAAUACCAAAAGCGAAGGCAAUCUUCUGGAACACUACUGACGCUGAGGCGCGAAGGCGUGGGGAGCAAACCGGAUUAGAAACCCCAGUAGUCC